rnacentral:rRNA from 1 species
UACGUAGGGGGCAAGCGUUGUCCGGAUUUACUGGGCGUAAAGAGCGUGUAGGCGGCCAAGCAGGUCCGUUGUGAAAACUGGAGGCUUAACCUCCAGACGUCGACGGAAACCGCGUGGCUAGAGUCCGGAAGAGGAGAGUGGAAUUCCUGGUGUAGCGGUGAAAUGCGUAGAUAUCUGGAGGAAUACCGGUGGCGAAGGCGGCAUCCUGGACCAUUACUGACGCUGAGGCGCGAAAGCUAGGGGAGCAAACGGG